UACGGAGGUUGCAAGCGUUAUCCGGAUUUAUUGGGUUUAAAGGGUGCGUAGGCGGAAUGAUAAGUCAGUGGUGAAAGCCUGUAGCUUAACUAUAGAAUUGCCAUUGAUACUGUCGUUCUUGAGUGCAGUUGAGGUAGGCGGAAUGUGUAAUGUAGCGGUGAAAUGCUUAGAUAUUACACAGAACACCAAUUGCGUAGGCAGCUUACUAAACUGUAACUGACGCUGAGGCACGAAAGCGUGGGGAGCAAACAGG
rnacentral:rRNA from 1 species